GUCAUCUAGAUACACAAUUUGUGUUGCCAUGUUUGGCAAAAUGUAAGGGUCGUCAUCAUACCAAGUUCUGUUAAUGUUCACAGAUAGUAAGCCAUGGUCGAUUUUAACACUUCCCGGCCUAUUUGGGUUGCUAUCAAACCAUCGACACUUAAACAUGAUCACUUGGUAUCCAUCUUUGUAAAGCAAUUUAACGACAGUUGUGAGUUUGCCAUAGAAAUCAAUGUUCGUACUUUCGCAUCCACCUGGGACAUGGACACCGCUGUUUUGCGUACACAACUUGUCAUCUCGUGCAGCCUCCAAAAAUUUGACGCCGUUAAUAUAACAACCCGAAAAUAAUUCAGCACGAAUCGGGCCGAACGCCA
rnacentral:lncRNA from 1 species